AGCAGCCGCGGUAAUUCCAGCUCCAAUAGCGUAUAUUAAAGUUGUUGCAGUUAAAAAGCUCGUAGUUGAAUUUCGAGACCGGUUUAUUGGUCGUGCUUUUGUACGUACUGGUAUUAUUGGUUUCUCCUUUCUGACGAACUUUAAUGCCAUUAAUUUGGUGUUUUAGGGAAUCAGGACUGUUACUUCGAAAAAUUAGAGUGUUUAAAGCAGGCUCACGCUUGAAUACAUUAGCAUGGAAUAACGGAAUAGGACGUUUGAUUCUAUUUUGUUGGUUUCUAGGAUCGACGUAAUGAUUAAUAGGGAUAGUUGGGGGCAUUAGUAUUCAAUUGUCAGAGGUGAAAUUCUUGGAUUUAUUGAAGACUAACUACUGCGAAAGCAUUUGCCAAGGAUGUUUUCAUUAAUCAAGAACGAAAGUUAGGGGAUCGAAGACGAUCAGAUACCGUCGUAGUCUUAACCAUAAACUAUGCCGACUAGGGAUCGGAUGAUGUUAAUUUUUAAUGACUCAUUCGGCGCCUUACGG
rnacentral:misc_RNA from 1 species